rnacentral:rRNA from 1 species
UACGUAGGGUGCAAGCGUUGUCCGGAAUUAUUGGGCGUAAAGAGCGUGUAGGCGGCCAAGCAGGUCCGCUGUGAAAACUCGAGGCUCAACCUCGAGACGUCGGUGGAAACCGUUUGGCUAGAGUCCGGAAGAGGAGAGUGGAAUUCCCGGUGUAGCGGUGAAAUGCGCAGAUAUCGGGAAGAACACCCGUGGCGAAGGCGGCUCUCUGGGACGGUACUGACGCUGAGACGCGAAAGCGUGGGGAGCGAACAGG